rnacentral:rRNA from 1 species
CGGGUGAGUAACACGUAUCAACCUGCCCUUUACUCGGGGAUAGCCUUUCGAAAGAAAGAUUAAUACCCGAUGGCAUAACAUAACCUCCUGGUUUUGUUAUUAAAGAAUUUCGGUAGAGGAUGGGGAUGCGUUCCAUUAGGCAGUUGGCGGGGUAACGGCCCACCAAACCUUCGAUGGAUAGGGGUUCUGAGAGGAAGGUCCCCCACAUUGGAACUGAGACACGGUCCAAACUCCUACGGGAGGCAGCAGUGAGGAAUAUUGGUCAAUGGGCGAGAGCCUGAACCAGCCAAGUAGCGUGAAGGAUGACCGCCCUAUGGGUUGUAAACUUCUUUAAUAUGGGAAUAAAGUUUGCCACGUGUGGCAUUUGGUAUGUACCAUAUGAAUAAGGAUCGGCUAACUCCGUGCCCAGCAUCCGCGGUAAUCCGGAGAAUCCGAGCGUUAUCCGGAUUUAUUGGGUUUAAAGGGAGCGUAGGUGAACAUGUAAGUCAGUUGUGAAAGUUUCCGGCUCAACCGUAAAAUUGCAGUUGAUACUGCGUGUCUUGAGUACAGUAGAGGUGGCCGGAAUUCGUGGUGUAGCGGUGAAAUGCUUAGAUAUCACGAAGAACUCCGAUUGCGAAGGCAGCUCACUGGACUGCAACUGACACUGAUGCUCGAA